CAGCACCUCAAGUGGUCAGGAUGAUUAUUGGGCCUAAAGCAUCCGUAGCCGGCGCUGUAAGUUUUCGGUUAAAUCUGUACGCUCAACGUACAGGCUGCCGGGAAUACUGCAGCGCUAGGGAGUGGGAGAGGUAGACGGUACACGGUAGGAAGGGGUAAAAUCCUUUGAUCUAUUGAUGACCACCUGUGGCGAAGGCGGUCUACCAGAACACGUCCGACGGUGAGGGAUGAAAGCUGGGGGAGCAAACCGGAUUAGAGACCCGAGUAGUCC
rnacentral:rRNA from 1 species